rnacentral:rRNA from 1 species
UACGAAGGGGGCUAGCGUUUGCUCGGAAUCACUGGGCGUAAAGCGCACGUAGGCGGAUCUUUAAGUCAGAGGUGAAAUCCCAAGGCUCAACCUUGGAACUGCCUUUGAUACUGGGGAUCUCGAGUCCGGAAGAGGUGAGUGGAACUGCGAGUGUAGAGGUGAAAUUCGUAGAUAUUCGGAAGAACACCAGUGGCGAAGGCGGCUCACUGGCCCGGUACUGACGCUGAGGUGCGAAAGCGUGGGGAGCAAACAGG